rnacentral:rRNA from 1 species
UACGGGGGGGGCAAGCGUUGUUCGGAAUUACUGGGCGUAAAGGGCUCGUAGGCGGCCAACUAAGUCGGAUGUGAAAUCCCUCGGCUUAACCGGGGAACUGCGUCUGAUACUGGAUGGCUUGAGAUUGGGAGAGGGAUGCGGAAUUCCAGGUGUAGCGGUGAAAUGCGUAGAUAUCUGGAGGAACACCGGUGGCGAAGGCGGCAUCCUGGACCAACACUGACGCUGAGGAGCGAAAGCCAGGGGAGCAAACGGG